GACGAACGCUGGCGGCGUGCUUAACACAUGCAAGUCGAACGGGUCUGCCCUGUUUUUUGCGGGGUGGGUCAGUGGCGAACGGGUGAGUAACACGUGAGUAACCUGCCCCUCACUUCUGGAUAACCGCUUGAAAGGGUGGCUAAUACGGGGUGUUCUGGCUGUGCCGCAUGGUGUGGCUGGGAAAGAUUCACUUUUGUGGUGUUUUGGUGGGGGAUGGGCUCGCGGCCUAUCAGCUUGUUGGUGGGGUGAUGGCCUGCCAAGGCUUUGACGGGUAGCCGGCCUGAGAGGGUGGGCGGUCACACUGGGACUGAGAUCCGGCUCAGACUCCUGCGGGAGGCAGCAGUGGGGGGUAUUGCACAAUGGGCGGAAGCCUGAUGCAGCGACGUCGCGUGAGGGAUGGAGGCCUUCGGGUUGUGAACCUCUUUCGCCGGUGAAGAAGGUCCUGCUCUUUGUGGUGGGGUUGACGGUAGCCGGGUUAUGAAGCGCCGGCUAACUACGUG
rnacentral:rRNA from 1 species